rnacentral:rRNA from 1 species
UACGUAGGUGGCAAGCGUUGUUCGGAAUUAUUGGGCGUAAAGGGCGCGUAGGCGGUUUGUUAAGUCGGUCGUGAAAGCCCGGGGCUCAACCCCGGAGGGUCGACCGAUACUGGCAGACUAGAGUACAGAAGAGGUAACUGGAAUUCCCGGUGUAGCGGUGAAAUGCGUAGAUAUCAGGAGGAACACCUAUUGCGAAGGCAGCUCGCUGGGACGUAACUGACGCUGAGGUGCGAAAGCGUGGGGAGCAAACAGG